AAAAAAUAAUCGCUUAGGAUAGGCGUUCACACGAAUAACUUGCUUUUACCUAAAUCAUUUCUUUACAGAUUUGAGAUUAAGGAGCGUUCUUUAACAUUUUUAUAAGUUCAAUCAAGUCACAUCAUAGUGCCUUAGUUUUUUAAUUUAGAUAUGAAUGAUGUGCAAAUGUCACCAAACCCGUCAUGUUUUAGAACAUAAGUUUGGUGUACAUACUGCAAAGUAAUUUUGGCGAAUGACAAUAGAUACUUGAAGAACAUUAAUCAUUAAGUUGUUUGAUGUAAUAUGGUCAAGUAAUUAAGCGCAUACGGUGGA
rnacentral:misc_RNA from 1 species